rnacentral:rRNA from 1 species
AACCCGGAUUAGAUACCCUGNUAGUCCAUGCCGUAAACGAUGAGUGCUAAGUGUUGGAGNGUUUCCGCCCUUCAGUGCUGCAGCUAACGCAUUAAGCACUCCGCCUGGGGAGUACGACCGCAAGGUUGAAACUCAAAGGAAUUGACGGGGGCCCGCACAAGCGGUGGAGCAUGUGGUUUAAUUCGAUGCUACGCGAAGAACCUUACCAGGUCUUGACAUCUUCUGCCAACCUAAGAGAUUAGGCGUUCCCUUCGGGGAUAGAAUGACAGGUGGUGCAUGGUUGUCGUCAGCUCGUGUCGUGAGAUGUUGGGUUAAGUCCCGCAACGAGCGCAACCCUUAUUGUUAGUUGCCAGCAUUUAGUUGGGCACUCUAGCAAGACUGCCGGUGACAAACCGGAGGAAGGUGGGGAUGACGUCAAAUCAUCAUGCCCCUUAUGACCUGGGCUACACACGUGCUACAAUGGACGGUACAACGAGUCGCGAAACCGCGAGGUCAAGCUAAUCUCUUAAAGCCGUUCUCAGUUCGGAUUGUAGGCUGCAACUCGCCUACAUGAAGUUGGAAUCGCUAGUAAUCGUGGAUCAGCAUGCCACGGUGAAUACGUUCCCGGGCCUUGUACACACCGCCCGUCACACCAUGAGAGUUUGUAACACCCAAAGCCGGUGAGGCAACCUUCGGGAACCAACCGUCUAAGGUGGGACAGAUGAUUAGGGUGAAGUCGUAACAAGGUAACC